UAUGAAGGGCAAAGAAGUUCUACUAUAAAUCUAGUCUUAACUCAUAGCCUAUUUGAUUUGAGCUAAUAAGUCUGAGGGGUAUUUUAUACCUAGUGCCUUAAGGUCAUCUGGUCCGAAAAUCAUUGGCUGAAAACUCACUACAUGGGUUAGAUAGAAAGCUUAAAGAGUUAAGACACUCAAUAGCAGUACAACAUUAAAGAAACAAAAAAAAAUCUAUAAAUGAAGGAUGGAAGUAACACUAUAUCUAUCCAUAUGAAAGUUAGACGAUUUAG
rnacentral:lncRNA from 1 species